rnacentral:lncRNA from 1 species
GGGAAGAAGCCCCUGACAGGUGGGCCCCACCUGUCAGCGGGUGCGGGCGCGCGCACGGGGCAACCGGGCUGGCGGGGCCGGCUCGCGGGUGGUCGGACGGGGCCGGUUCGGCCCAAAGUGGCCGGGCCGGUCCGGUUUACCCCUUUUUUUUUCUUUUAGGCCUUUCUUUUUCUGUUUUUCUCAUUUCUUUGAUAUCUUUGGAGUUUGAACUCCAAAUUGGUCCAAAUAAAUUCCAGAAAAUUUGUAAAAUCAUGUUCUACCAAGAUACAACUUUUGGGGGUAGUUUCCCCUCAGAAUAAAUUAUAUAAAAAUAUAUUUGCUCUAGAAAUGGCUCUAGGGCUAUAUAUCUAUUUAAAUAAAAUACUUUUCCGACUCCAAAUAAUUAUCCAAAAAUUAUGGGAUAGCUUCUAUAUGCACUAAACCCCUUUUAUACAUAAAACCUAUUGGUUUGAAAAUUCCAAAGCUCAAAUGGGUGUAAACCAAAUCUUUUAAAGACUUUUGAGAUUCAAAUUUGAAUUCAAACAUGCAAUUGUGGCAUGAUGCUU